GCUAGUGUGGUGUAGUGGUUUGAGGGUUGGACUAGGAUUCUGGAGACUAGGGUUCAAAUCCCUGCUCAGUCA
rnacentral:tRNA from 1 species